CCUACGGGAGGCAGCAGUGAGGAAUAUUGGUCCAUGGGAGAGAUCCUGAACCAGCCAAGCCGCGUGAGGGAAGACGGCCCUAUGGGUUGUAAACCUCUUUUGUCGGAGAACAAAACCCGGGACGAGUCCCGGACUGCGUGUAUCCGAAGAAAAAGCAUCGGCUAACUCCGUGCCAGCAGCCGCGGUAAUACGGAGGAUGCGAGCGGUAUCCGGAUGUAUUAGGUUUAAAGGGUGCGGAGGCGGUCUGUUAAGUCCGCGGUAAAAUUGCGGGGCCCAACCCCGUCGAGCCGUUGAACCCGGCAGAAUUGAGUUGGCGAGAAGUACGCGGAAGGCGCGGUGUAGCGGUGAAAUGCAUGGAUAUCGCGCAGAACUCCGAUUGCGAAGGCAGCGUACCGGCGCCAGACUGACGCUGAGGCACGAAAGCGUGGGGAUCGAACAGGAUUAGAUACCCCGGUAGUC
rnacentral:rRNA from 1 species